AUUGAACGCUGGCGGCAGGCCUAACACAUGCAAGUCGAACGAGUGGCGGACGGGUGGGUAAUGUAUGGGAAACUGCCCGAUGGACGGGUAUAACUACUGGAAACGGUAGCUACUACCGCAUACCAUCGGAUGUGCCCAGAUGGGAUGAGCUAGUGGGGGGGGUAACGGCUCACCUAGGCGACGAUCCCUAGCUGGUCUGAGAGGCUGACCGGCCACACGGGAACUGAGACACGGUCCAGACUCCUACGGGAGGCAGCAGUGGGGAAUAUUGCACAAUGGGCGAAAGCCUGAUGCAGCCAUGCCGCGUGGAUGAAGAAGGCCUUCGGGUUGUAAAGUACUUUCAGCGAGGAGGCGUUACUCGCAGAAGAAGCACCGGCUAACUCCGUGCCAGCCGCCGCGGUAAUAC
rnacentral:rRNA from 1 species